GACGAACGCUGGCGGCGUGCUUAACACACGCAAGUCGAACGGAAAGGCCUUUUCGGAGGUACUCGAGUGGCGAACGGGUGAGUAACACGUGGGUGAUCUGCCCUGCACUCUGGGAUAAGCCUGGGAAACUGGGUCUAAUACCGGAUAGGACCGCACUUUAGUGUGUGUGGUGGAAAGUUUUUUCGGUGUAGGAUGAGCCCGCGGCCUAUCAGCUUGUUGGUGGGGUAAUGGCCUACCAAGGCGGCGACGGGUAGCCGGACUGAGAGGUUGGUCGGCCACAUUGGGACUGAGAUACGGCCCAGACUCCUACGGGAGGCAGCAGUGGGGAAUAUUGCACAAUGGGCGCAAGCCUGAUGCAGCGACGCCGCGUGGGGGAUGACGGCCUUCGGGUUGUAAACUCCUUUCGCCAGGGACGAAGCGUUUUGUGACGGUACCUGGAGAAGAAGCACCGGCUAACUACGUG
rnacentral:rRNA from 1 species